UGACCAAAUCACCCUUGUGGUGGACUUGGAGUUGGCCUGUACUGGCCUCUCUUAAAAUCAGUGGCGGUGCUCUUAAAGCUCUACGCGUAGUAAUUUUCUCGCUAUAGGGUCUUGAUUGUACUUGCCAACAACCCCAACUUAUCAUAA
rnacentral:misc_RNA from 1 species